AGUGAACGCUGGCGGUAGGCCUAACACAUGCGAGUCGAACGGCAGCACAGUAAGAGCUUGCUCUUACGGGUGGCGAGUGGCGGACGGGUGAGGAAUACAUCGGAAUCUACUUUUUCGUGGGGGAUAACGUAGGGAAACUUACGCUAAUACCGCAUACGACCUACGGGUGAAAGCAGGGGAUCUUCGGACCUUGCGCGAUUGAAUGAGCCGAUGUCGGAUUAGCUAGUUGGCGGGGUAAAGGCCCACCAAGGCGACGAUCCGUAGCUGGUCUGAGAGGAUGAUCAGCCACACUGGAACUGAGACACGGUCCAGACUCCUACGGGAGGCAGCAGUGGGGAAUAUUGGACAAUGGGCGCAAGCCUGAUCCAGCCAUACCGCGUGGGUGAAGAAGGCCUUCGGGUUGUAAAACCCUUUUGUUGGGAAAGAAAAGCAGCAGGUUAAUACCCCGCUGUUCUGACGGUACCCAAAGAAUAAGCACCGGCUAACUUCGUG
rnacentral:rRNA from 1 species